rnacentral:rRNA from 1 species
CUUGCUCCCUGAUGUUAGCGGCGGACGGGUGAGUAACACGUGGGUAACCUGCCUGUAAGACUGGGAUAACUCCGGGAAACCGGGGCUAAUACCGGAUGCUUGAUUGAACCGCAUGGUUCAAUUAUAAAAGGUGGCUUUUAGUUACCACUUACAGAUGGACCCGCGGCGCAUUAGCUAGUUGGUGAGGUAACGGCUCACCAAGGCAACGAUGCGUAGCCGACCUGAGAGGGUGAUCGGCCACACUGGGACUGAGACACGGCCCAGACUCCUACGGGAGGCAGCAGUAGGGAAUCUUCCGCAAUGGACGAAAGUCUGACGGAGCAACGCCGCGUGAGUGAUGAAGGUUUUCGGAUCGUAAAACUCUGUUGUUAGGGAAGAACAAGUACCGUUCGAAUAGGGCGGUACCUUGACGGUACCUAACCAGAAAGCCACGGCUCACUACGUGCCAGCAGCCGCGGUAAUACGUAGGUGGCAAGCGUUGUCCGGAAUUAUUGGGCGUAAAGCGCGCGCAGGCGGUUUCUUAAGUCUGAUGUGAAAGCCCCCGGCUCAACCGGGGAGGGUCAUUGGAAACUGGGGAACUUGAGUGCAGAAGAGGAGAGUGGAAUUCCACGUGUAGCGGUGAAAUGCGUAGAGAUGUGGAGGAACACCAGUGGCGAAGGCGACUCUCUGGUCUGUAACUGACGCUGAGGCGCGAAAGCGUGGGGAGCGAACAGGAUUAGAUACCCUGGUAGUCCACGCC